CGAGAGGUGAGGAGUCAGCAGUGAACUAAAGUCCAUCAUUCCAGAGAAUUGGCAUGUGUCAGAUGAUGACAAAACAGAAAGAAAGGUGGUUCCUGUAACAGUCACAUGACCUAAAGCAUAGUCAAUGACACAGGCGAAGCAAAUGGACUGGGGACAGAGAGCAGAGCUGGCUGGUGGGUCAGAGAAGAUGUACUUGAGGUGCUUGAGAUGGGCCCUAAGGAGGGCAAGAGCUGCCCAGGCAAGCAAGGGGAGGGCAUCUAGAUGAGUGACCAGUGCUUAGUGCACUGAGCAAGCAAUCAGGGAAGGACAGCUGUGACUUCUGGCCCAGUUCUUCAGGAACCCAGGGCACAAGUUGCUGUGAAAGAUGAGUCUGCCACACCAAAUGGACGUCAGAUUUCAAUGGGACAGCCAACACACUUAGACUUCACCCCUCCAGAGGCUGUCAGGAGAUGACUGACCUGCUCGUGAAAGGACAAAGAAGGACUGCGGGGGAGUGGGCAAGGGUUGGCCAGUGGAUCUGGGGCAGCAGGUAAUGAUCCAUCCUCACACGGGGCAGUGACAGCGGGUUGGAGAGAAGUGCCAGAUGCUGGAGCAUUAGG
rnacentral:lncRNA from 1 species